rnacentral:rRNA from 1 species
CCUACGGGAGGCAGCAGUGAGGAAUAUUGGUCAAUGGACGAGAGUCUGAACCAGCCAAGUAGCGUGAAGGAUGACUGCCCUAUGGGUUGUAAACUUCUUUUAUAUGGGAAUAAAACGUUCCACGUGUGGGAUUUUGUAUGUACCAUAUGAAUAAGGAUCGGCUAACUCCGUGCCAGCAGCCGCGGUAAUACGGAGGAUCCGAGCGUUAUCCGGAUUUAUUGGGUUUAAAGGGAGCGUAGUUGGAUGUUUAAGUCAGUUGUGAAAGUUUGCGGCUCAACCGUAAAAUUGCAGUUGAAACUGGCAGUCUUGAGUACAGUAGAGGUGGGCGGAAUUCGUGGUGUAGCGGUGAAAUGCUUAGAUAUCACGAAGAACUCCGAUUGCGAAGGCAGUUCACUGGACUGCAACUGACACUGAGGCUCGAAAGUGUGGGUAUCAAACAGGAUUAGAUACCCUUGUAGUC